UGUAGCUCAACGGUAGAGUGCAUGUCUGGCAUGCAUGAGGCUCUGGGUUCAAUUUCUAGCA
rnacentral:tRNA from 1 species